rnacentral:rRNA from 1 species
ACUCCUACGGGAGGCAGCAGUGGGGAAUAUUGCACAAUGGGCGCAAGCCUGAUGCAGCCAUGCCGCGUGUGUGAAGAAGGCCUUCGGGUUGUAAAGCACUUUCAGUUGUGAGGAAGGUGGUGUCGUUAAUAGCGGCACAUUUGAUCGUUAUGCAACAGAAGAAGCACCGGCUAACUCCGUGCCAGCAGCCGCGGUAAUACGGAGGGUGCAAGCGUUAAUCGGAAUUACUGGGCGUAAAGCGUGCGCAGGCGGUCUGUUAAGCGAGAUGUGAAAGCCCGGGCUCAAGCCUGGGAACUGCAUUUCGAACUGGCAGUACUAGAGUCUUGUAGAGGGGGGUAGAAUUCCAGGUGGUAGCGGUG